GAGGAAUACCGAUGGCGAAGGCAGCCAUCUGGCCUAACACUGACGCUGAGGUACGAAAGCAUGGGGAGCAAACAGGAUUAGAUACCCUGGUAGUCCAUGCCGUAAACGAUGUCUACUAGCCGUUGGUCUCUUUGAGGGAUUAGUGGCGCAGCUAACGCGAUAAGUAGACCGCCUGGGGAGUACGGUCGCAAGACUAAAACUCAAAUGAAUUGACGGGGGCCCGCACAAGCGGUGGAGCAUGUGGUUUAAUUCGAUGCAACGCGAAGAACCUUACCUGGUCUUGACAUAGUAAGAACUUUCCAGAGAUGGAUUGGUGCCUUCGGGAACUUACAUACAGGUGCUGCAUGGCUGUCGUCAGCUCGUGUCGUGAGAUGUUGGGUUAAGUCCCGCAACGAGCGCAACCCUUUUCCUUAUUUGCCAGCACUUUGGGUGGGAACUUUAAGGAUACUGCCAGUGACAAACUGGAGGAAGGCGGGGACGACGUCAAGUCAUCAUGGCCCUUACGACCAGGGCUACACACGUGCUACAAUGGUCGGUACAAAGGGUUGCUACCUAGCGAUAGGAUGCUAAUCUCAAAAAGCCGAUCGUAGUCCGGAUUGGAGUCUGCAACUCGACUCCAUGAAGUCGGAAUCGCUGGUAAUCGCGGAUCAGAAUGCCGCGGUGAAUACGUUCCCGGGCCUUGUACACACCGCCCGUCACACCAUGGGAGUUUGUUGCACCAGAAGUGGAUAGUCUAACUGCAAAGAGGACGUUCACCACGGUGUGGCCGAUGACUGGGGUGAAGUCGUA
rnacentral:rRNA from 1 species